UGGCCUCUCCCGUUGCGGAGCACAGGCUCUGGACGCGCAGGCUCAGCGGCCAUGGCUCACGGGCCUAGCCACUCCACAGCAUGUGGGAUCUUCCCGGACCGGGGCACGAACCCCUGUCCCCUGCAUCGGCAGGUGGACUCUCAACCACUGCGCCACGAGGGAAGCCCCCAAAUAUUCAUUUUUAAAGGAACAUUUGGAACAUAGUUCCUAUUCAAAUUUAAAAGUGAUAAUUACUUUAUAAUUUUCAUAAGCAUUUUCCUUGGUUAUUUAGUUGAUGAGAGCUGUGAUGUCCGUUUGGAAUAUUUUUCCUUUCAACAUGGACAGAUGUCUGAGGGAAUUUAUGCCACAUGGAAACUCGCCUUUCUUGCCCUUACAGGGAAGCUGUAGCCACAGUAGUGCUUUGGGAAGCCAAAUAUAUAUUAUGGCAUUGACAUUUAAUGUACCAUUGAUAACCACUAUGCCAGAUUCCAAAUGACAUAUAGCAGACAAAAUCAGAGAUUUUGUAAUGGAUAAAAGAUGGCAAAAACCUUGGAGAACUUUUUUUGUCUGUCUCCAGAAUCCUAUAAUUGAAGGCUUCAUUUCUCUUUAAAAUUUUUUCAUAAUUUUUCCGUAUGACUCUAAGGAUCAUACUCCUAAAUCCUGUUUUUCGUCUUGAGAAAAGAAAGAGAGGUCCCCUCUGUCACGGAUGCCAAAUUGAUACUCUUCAUGGGCUUGAAGAUGGCAACUCAUUUCAGAGUGAGGGGGAUGAUUUUAGCCAGGUCAGUGGAAAAGGGCAGUAAUGAUAAGAAAAAGUAGGGGCACAUGAAGACCUCAGGAUAUAAAUGGCUCCAACUGGCUUCUUACUUGCUGAGUUCUGAGGCCUGUCCCUGAUCCCCUUGGAGGAAGACCCUCCUUUCCUUGUGCUGUAACACAGUGUUCAUCGCUCCCCUGCCUGGACUGACCCUGGACCAGGAGAGGUGCUUGUGUCCUCCUCUGGCAGCACCACUCCUGCCUCCUAGUAGAAGACCAGCUCUCCUGCAGGUCAGCAUCAUUCCCAGAACACAGGAAGGCACCUUGGAAAGUGGUCUUUUUGUUGGAAAGCUUCCAGCUGUGUCUCUGCUGUUCUUCUGCCUGGUCCACCAAGAACUUGUUUUGCUCACAUUUCAACAGUGAACGAGGAGGCAUUUGUCUUGAUAGCCUCUGAGAUCAUCCUGGCACCAGAUUCUCCAAUGUGAUUUCCCUGGAGACUAGAAGAGAAGGAUUAGGACAGGGCUUGAGAAAUUGACUGAAGGGCUGGAGGCCUGAAGAUUCUCAUUAGUAAAGCACAGAUGGUCACUACAUAAAAUGCAGAACCCAGUGUGAAACCUUUGUGCUUCCAGGAUUCCUCCUGUGGACAAGGCUCAGCAUGGCUCCUUCUUAUACUGAGUUCCCUUGCAGAGCUGCUAAGGGGCCUGGGAGUCAGCUGGCUCCGAGACUCAGGCGGAAGGUAGGGUCUGCCCUGGGAGCAGUUCUAAGGGUGAGCAAGGAUGGCAGGAACGGGCAGAUGCUGCCGAGCCCCACUCACUUGAUGUGCCGUAGCCCAUGGUUUCCAGACAGUGCGGUGGCAACACAUAUCGCCCCGUCCAUUCCCAAGGAAUUCUCUUGGAGACUAGGCAGAGAAAAGAUGGAGACACCACAGUGAGCCAUUCAGGACAGAAGAACACUCCCCAGGAAGCAGCACUGCACUAUCUUGGGACAAGUCUGAGACUGAUUUAUCCACAGGCGCCAUAGCAACAGCGAAGUGGCAUUUAACCCUGAGACCUGUGUCUGCAGGCCGCCAGAUUGUCUCGUCCAGGUGCCGUGGAGGACAUAAGACCAAAAAUGCAGAAGUGAACAAACCCAUCCACAAUAUGGACUAUAGUAAUCAGAAUAGUGUCAGCUAUUUGUACUCGGAAGGAAGCAGCUACAAAGGAAAUCAAGUGUGUCUUAUGCCACGGGAGAGGUUCCAGAAGAGAAGUCUGCUGUUUUAAGGCGCAGGCACCAGGCAGCCAUUUAAACAUCUUGUCUAGGAUGGGAACAGAUUUACGUUUGGGAAAGAUCUUUGGCCAGCAGUAUGAAGAUGGACGGAUGUGGAGGCUGUGGCAGUGAUGCAGAUGAGGUACCUGAGCCUCUGGAACUUUCUGGAAUGAGCAGAAACAAGCAGCCUGCAUCCUGAGCCACACGCCUCAAUGACACUUCACUUUGAAAGCACCCCUGGCCAUUUGAGCAGAGAGGAGGAUGUGAAAAGAGCCCCGGACACCUAGACAGAUGAGGACACUGAGGCUCAGAGAGUUUAAAUGACUUUCUCAAGGAUACACGAGUGGGAAGCAGUUGUGUUGGAAUAGAAACCAAGGCUUCACUGACAGCAGUACUUGUGCUGUAUAAUCUACCUGCCUCUUAAGCACCCAACAGGCACCUUUGCCCCAGCUGUACUCCACAGUGUCUUCCCAACUCAAGGGCCCCCAAGGCAGGUCAGCUGCACCUGAAACAGCAGAAUGUGGCAGUUCACUCAGGCCCCUGGAGGUGGACCUCAGCACGUGCGCUGCAUUGAUGGGGAAGGACACAGCCCAGAGUGAACAACAUGAGAAAAGUUACAAUAGAGGAAAAAUACAGGACAGACUCUGGUGACAGGGAGCAAACCACCUCAUGUGAAGCCACUGAGAGAAGCAGAUGACGAGCACUCGCCAGGUGCUGGGGGGACACACGGUGGCUACCCUGGAGAAGCCUGCUGAGGCUUCAGGCAGGCAGAGUGCAGACUGGCGGCUGCAGCCCUGGCCAGAGGUGCAGCGAAGGCAUUUGAGAGCAGGCCGCCCACAGGAUGUUGGAAACCACAGGGGCCAGGCUUUGCCUUGCGGGCGGCAGCUGUGGUGAAGGUGAUGCACUGGGUGUCCAGGAAGUCCAGCAGCUUCCCCGUGGCCACAUGGAUGCCUUGAUGCUUCAGCUCGGCCUGUAGCUCUGCCAGCUCCAAGGGCUGGUACAGCAGGACCUUGCGGUAGAGGGCUGGCUUGGAGCAGAUAUAAUGCCUCACGGCCUCCUCUGUGGCCGCUACCUGGAUGGCCGCCUGUGAAGCACUGAUACCCUCCUCGUCCUCCUCAUCUUCUCCUGCAGACUCCAAGGCCGCUCCAAAGUCACAGGAAGAACUGAAAAGAACCAGACAAUAACACCUAGCAACACCCCUUCUUUCCGGCCUCCACCCCGAGACCAGGAGCCCCUUUGAGGGAAGGAGUGUGUUUCUUUGUCCCCUGCGGAGCCCGGCACAUGGACGACCCCCAGGGCAGUAGGAAGCCCCAGGCUGCUGUGUCCCUGGCACUCUAGUUGCAGGCCUGAGCGGGAUCGCACCCUCAGCCAGAAUCUAAUGCCGAGGGCAGCUGUGCUAGGCUGGCCCUGCUUGUGAGAGAGGAUGUGGCCCUGUCCUUCCAUCUGGUUACCUUUGUGAGCUGCAGGAGCUGUCACUGCUGUCUACAGAGGUGGCCAUGGAUUCCUGGGAGGCCGGUAGCUGGGUGUCACCAUCAGGGCCUGGAGGGCCCUCCUUGGCUGGUGACGUGCUCAGGGCAGGGACCCUUCCACCAGGCUGUGUCUUUUGAUGUUGGGGGCCCUUGGUCUUAGCAGGUCCCUUGGACCUUUGGGGAACGGAGCCAGAAGUGGCCUCCAGCUGGGUGCGGCCAGCUGCCCUUGAAGGCUUAGAGGUCUUGGUGGUGUAAGUUUGGCUGCAAGGAGCCUCCAAGGGCACCUGUGAGGACUGGCUCUCUUCCUCAGAGUCUGACUCCAGUAUCUGGUGAGUGUACUGGAAUAUCUCCUUCAGUUUCAGGACCAUUUGGCGUUUGGGCAGAGGGCGGACCCCAAACCUGAAUAGGAAAACAGAUGAACGUCAGCAAAGAGCAAACAGGUAUUAACGAAUUAAACUAGUGGCUUUAUGUAACUGAAUCUUAAAUGCCUGACUUAAGAGCAUUCAGAGGUCGGUAUCUAUCCUGCAUACCCACUGAGCUGACUCAGGAAUAUUCCAGAAAGGCCAUUCCCCCUGAGUUCUGAGUGGUGGUGGUAGCAGUGACCUCCCCAGUGUCCAAGGCAAACAGCAGAAUUCAUUGGAAUGUGAGUUUUGAUGUUCUUUUAAAAAAUCAGCUCUCCCUCCUCAAACUGUUAAGGCAAGGGUACCAUUCCCAUCCACAUGGCACAUGGAGACCUGCCACCUGAUGGGUGACCUGGAGGAGUGUCAUUUCUUGGCCCUAAGUCACCUGGGGAACAGUAUGUGGAGAGCUGGGAGUCACGCACGCCCCCCCACCAGCCAGAGGCUCCUGCCACCAGAGCCCAGGGUGCCGUUCUGCUCCCCACUUCACUAAGCCUGGACAUAGGUGCAGGAGGGAGGGUCUGCUCAGAGCAAGCUUUCCAGAACACCACCAACCUGUCCAGUUCUUUCUUCAGCACCGGGGUCUCCAUGAUGGAAUACCUUGGCAUUGGGGUUAUGGGCACUUCGGGGGGCAAGUUCUUCUUCCGGUUAGCACCUUCUGGGUAGAACAAAAGAAACAUACGUUUCAGCACGAGGGCCCUGGAUUUGCCUCUUCUGACCCUGAUAGUGUCACUUAGAGAAGCGCUGCCCUCGCUCCAGGACAGCAGGGAUGUCCACCCUUCACUGUUUGACUCUGGAGUCACAUCUUCCCAUUGGAAAGCAUCACACAGCACGCGGUGAGGGCCACGGGCUUAUGUGGUGCUGAUGCUGUGAAGAGCUCGAAAGCA